rnacentral:rRNA from 1 species
AGUAUUUUGACUAUACAAAGGUAUUGAAAUAAGACUUUAAUUGAGUGCUAAGAGAAUGGAAUUUCAUAAAAUUUCUUUUUUAAUUUUAAAAAUUGAAAUUAAUUUUAUAUGUGAAGAAACAAUAAUAAAAAUUAGGGACAAGAAGACCCUAAGAAUUUUAAAGAUUUUAAUAAAAUUUUGUAUUUUAUUGAAAUCUUUUAAUUGGGGCGAUUAUUAAAUAUUAAAAACUUUAAUUUUUUUAAAAAAGAACCAAUAAUAUUGGUUAUUUGAAAAAAUACUCUAGGGAUAACAGCGUAAUAAUUUUUGAUAGUUCUUAUAGACAAAAUAGUUUGCGACCUCGAUGUUGGAUUAGGAUUCUUUUUUAAUGAAGAAGUUAAAAAAAGAAGUUUGUUCAACUUUUAAAAUCCU